AUUGAACGCUGGCGGCAGGCCUAACACAUGCAAGUCGAGCGGAGCGGCGGACGGGUGAGUAAUGCCUAGGAAUCUGCCUGGUCGUGGGGGAUAGCGUCAGGAAAUGGACGCGAAUACCACAUCCUAAUAGCUGCGCCUAGGUCGGAUUAGCUAGUGGGGGGGGUAAGGGCCUACCAAGACGACGAUCCGUAACUGGUCUGAGAGGAUGAUCAGUCACACUGGAACUGAGACACGGUCCAGACUCCUACGGGAGGCAGCAGUGGGGAAUAUUGGACAAUGGGCGAAAGCCUGAUCCAGCCAUGCCGCGUGUGUGAAGAAGGUCUUCGGGUUGUAAAGCACUUUAAGUUGGGAGGCGUUACCAACAGAAGAAGCAACGGCUAACUUCGUGCCAGCAGCCGCGGUAAUUC
rnacentral:rRNA from 1 species